ensembl:lncRNA
UGGCAGUCUUUGCCCAUCCUCAAUACCUCUACUCAAAUGAAAAAAUAUUAUUAACCUUUGGUGUGACAUAUGCAUAUAAAAUAUGAUGUUUCAACAUCACAUUGAAGUAUCUAACCAUCGCAGUUUUAAGGGAAGCAGAUUUAUUUUGGACAUUGGAUUAGUAUGUUAGGUUGGUAUGGGAAAUCAACAACUUCUGCAAGUUGUAGAACUACCUGACAUCAUAAAAGCUUCAAUUAUCGUACUAUCAAUUUAAACUGAAUGUUCCAUGAUGGAGAUGCACAAAUAAAAUGUAGAGUUUUACCACGUAAAACUUGGAUGAGAAGCUACAGAAGUCGACAGAAUGAGUUCAUCUAGCCUGCUGUCUUUUAGCUGUGGCCUCACAGUUGCCAAAGGAUGGCUGUUGAAGAUGUUACAUUAAGCCCUUCUGCAUCAAGUCCUCCUCCUGUGGACUGGUAACUUCCACAGGUGAGACUUUGUGAUGCCACAUGUAGACGGGGCCUGAGAAGGCACAGGGGAGGUGUCCUAAAAUUGACCACUCUGGAUUUUGAAGAACCUGUUUUAUUACAGAUGUCUACUGUUGAAUUCUUUCUCCCCUACCUGCUCUGUGUUCAUUUCUUUGCUGAUUAUUUUCUUUUCCUCUUCCUAGAUGUCCUAAAUAUUUCUUACUUUCUUUUGUUACUGCAAAUCUCUUACCUCCUUUGCUUUCAAACCUGACUGUUAAAUCUCAGUGGGAGGAAGGAAGAAAAGAGAAGUGAAUGCUGCUGGCCUUCAACUUCUGAAAUGACGAGUCUUCCUUGGUGAGAGGAAUCGCAGAGGGUAUUUUCUUAUCCUGCUUUACCCCCAGACUAGGUGACUACAAGCACAGGAGUUCUGCUGACGCUGGAGUUUCCUUAUUUUGCCUUUGUAGCAAGGAGAAUUAAAGGAUUUCAUUCCUAUAAAGCCUUAAAUGUAAGCUGCUGACAGAGUUGCAAAAAAACAUUAUGCAAUUCAACUUUGAGCAGAAAUCUCUGAUAGACUUGUCUGUAUCUUCAGUUUCCUAUGUUGUACAGUCUAGAGCUGGAGUAAAGUACUUAAAACUCAC